GCAAGAUAGUAAGGGCACACGGUGGAUGCCUUGGCACAAAGAGGCGAUGAAGGACGUGGCAACCGACGAAAUGUCGCGGGGAGCCGGAAGCAGGCUUUGAUCCGCGGAUGUCCGAAUGGGGAAACCCGGCAGGGGUCAUGCCCUGUCACCCAGAAAUGGGAGCGAACCCGGGGAAGUGAAACAUCUCAGUACCCGGAGGAAGAGAAAACAAACGUGAUUCCCUGAGUAGUGGCGAGCGAAACGGGAAGAGCCCAAACCGGCAUCGCAAGGUGUCGGGGUUGUAGGACCACGAUAACGAAUCGUAUGGAUAACAGAACGGUCUGGGAAGGCCGGCCGAAGAAGGUGAGAGCCCUGUAGGUGAAAUCCAGAAGAUAGUAGUGGUAUCCUGAGUACCGCGGAGCACGUGAAAUUCUGCGGGAAGCAGCCGGAACCAUCCGGUAAGGCUAAAUACUCCUUUGUGACCGAUAGUGAACCAGUACCGUGAGGGAAAGGUGAAAAGAACCCUUGAGAAGGGAGUGAAAAGAAUCUGAAACCGUGUGCUUACAAACGGUCGGAGCACUGUAAAGUGUGACGGCGUGCCUUUUGCUUAAUGAGCCAACGAGCUGCUCGUCCCAUGCGAGGGUAAGCCUCUAGAGAGGUGCACCCGCAGCGAAAGCGAGUCUGAAUAGGGCGAUAGUAUGUGGCGGCAAACGCGAAACCGUGUGAUCUAUCCAUGGUCAGGAUGAAGUGUGGGUAACACCACAUGGAGGUCCGAACGGGUGUGGGUUGAAAACUACUCCGAUGAACUGUGGAUAGGGGUGAAAGGCCAAUCAAACUCGGUGAUAGCUCGUACUCCCCGAAAUGUUUUUAGGAACAGCCUCGUGUUAGUGUCCCGGAGGUAGGGCUCUGAUAGGGCUAGGGCUGUCACAACGGUACCGACCCCUGAUAAACCGCAAAUACCGGAGACAUGAUGCACGGGAGUGAGGCAGUGAGGGAUAAGCUUCAUUGCCGAGAGGGAAAGAACCCAGACCGCCGAUUAAGGUCCCCAAAUAUAUGCUUACAGAGAAAGGAUGUGUAGUUGCUGAGACAACUAGGAUGUUGGCUUAGAAGCAGCCACUCAUUUAAAGAGUGCGUAAUAGCUCACUAGUCGAGCGACUAUGCGCCGAUAAUAAUCGGGACUCAAGCAUAUUACCGAAAUCGCGGACUUCGUGUAAACGAAGUGGUAGGGGAGCAUUCUGCCUGCGGAGAAGGUGUGAUGUGAGUCAUGCUGGAGCGUGCAGAAGAGCAAAUGUUGGCAUAAGUAGCGAGAACGGAAGUGAGAAUCUUCCGCGCCGAAAGUCUAAGGAUUCCUUGAGCUCUGUUCGUCAGCUCAGGGUCAGUCGGCCCCUAAGGCGAGGCCAAACGGCGUAGCUGAUGGGAAUCAGGUGAAUAUUCCUGAACCGCUGUAUCAAUAAAAGUGACGCAGAAGUAGAUCAAUUGAGGCAAAUGGCUUGACCGAAGAUUGAGGAAUUCUGCCGAGAAAAGCGAGAUAUGGCGACCGUACCGCAAACCGACACAGGUAGACGGGUUGAAUAUACUCAGGCGCGCGAGUGAGCCGUGGUUAAGGAACUCGGCAAAUUAACCCCGUAACUUCGGGAGAAGGGGUGCCCCACUAAUGUGGGGCCGCAGAGAAAUGGCCCAAGCGACUGUUUAACAAAAACACAUCACUCUGCCAAGACGUUAAGUCGAUGUAUAGGGUGUGACACCUGCCCGGUGCCGGAAGGUUAAGAGGAGAGGUUAUCGCAAGAGAAGCUUCGAAUCGAAGCCCCGGUAAACGGCGGCCGUAACUAUAACGGUCCUAAGGUAGCGAAAUUCCUUGUCGGGUAAGUUCCGACCUGCACGAAUGGUGUAACGAUUUGGGCACUGUCUCAAGCACGGGCUCGGCGAAAUUGUGGUACCGGUGAAGACGCCGGUUACCCGCAUAUGGACGGAAAGACCCUAUGCACCUUUACUGUAGCUUAUUAUUGGGUUUGGAUGCAUCAUGCGUAGGAUAGGUGGGAGACUAUGAAGCGGGGCUUUCGGGCUUCGUGGAGUCACCGGUGAAAUACCACCCUUGAUGCAUUCGGAUUCUAACCCGGCGGAGUGUAUCCGCGGGGACAGUGAUAGGUAGGCAGUUUGACUGGGGCGGUCGCCUCCUAAAUUGUAACGGAGGCUCACCAAGGUUCCCUCAGCACGGUUGGUAAUCGUGCGUUGAGUGCAAAAGCAGAAGGGAGCUUGACUGUGAGACUGACAGGUCGAACAGGGACGAAAGUCGGUUUUAGUGAUCCGGCGGCACUGCAUGGAAAGGCCGUCGCUCAAAGGAUAAAAGGUACGCUAGGGAUAACAGGCUGAUCUUCCCCAAGAGUCCACAUCGACGGGAAGGUUUGGCACCUCGAUGUCGGCUCAUCGCAUCCUGGGGCUGGAGGAGGUCCCAAGGGUUUGGCUGUUCGCCAAUUAAAGCGGUACGUGAGCUGGGUUCAGAACGUCGUGAGACAGUUCGGUCCCUAUCCUAUGCGGGCGCACGAUACUUGAGGGGGCUCGUUCUUAGUACGAGAGGACCGGAAUGACCGGACCGACGGUGUGUCUGUUGUUACGCCAGUAGCAUUGCAGAGUAGCCAUGUCCGGUAAGGAUAAGCGCUGAAGGCAUCUCAAGCGCGAAACCUGCCCCAAGAUGAGGUAUCGCAAUAAGGACCCAAAAAGAUGAUUUGGUUGAUAGGCCGUAUGUCGAAGCAUAGUAAUAUGUUGAGCAGAGCGGUACUAAUAGUCCAAACGGCUUGCCUGC
rnacentral:rRNA from 1 species